rnacentral:lncRNA from 1 species
AGGAAAUAGUUUAGCAACCUAGAACUCCACUUGGUUUGGACUAUGCACACAGUCUUCUUCUAAUGUUGCCCUUGGAAACACAGCAUCCUUGUCUUGAGAAGUCAAGAGUCUCUGAAGAGUGUACCCAGCAACCUAUGUGCAUUCCAGGACCACUCUCUUCACUGAGCUGCAUCCACAUACUCCUCUGAACAAUGGACUGUGUUUCUAUUCCUUCUAGUGACCAUCAAACUUAGAUUCUAUUCAUCUAUACUCUGGUCUUUAUAUAACUCCCAACUCAUCUUUUCCUGUGACCUCAUCGACUGGUCCUUGUCACAUCAGACCAUCACCAGUUAUCCGUCAACUCCGUGCUCACUCUGACUGUGUAUUGACUUGGACCUGGCACCGGAC